UUUGUUUUAAUUUCAUAGCAAUACUCUAACGUUAUAUCUUAAUUUUCUUGUUGAUGUUUUGUAUGUCUAUCUGUGGAACUUGUGCUUUGUAUGUGUAAAUGUUAAUACAAACAAUUUAUUUUUAAUAUUUUAUUUUCAGGCUCUAGGGAUCUAAUGCUUGUGAUAAUCUACAGCAGAUGACCAUGACAAUCCAGGUUCUGGGGAUCUAAUGCUUGUGAUAAUCUACCGCAGGUGACCAUGACAAUCCAGGUACUGUGAACUACUGCUUUUGCUAAUCUACCGCAGGUGACCAUGACAAUCCGGGUUCUGUGAACUAAUGCUUGUGAUAAUCUACAGCAGAUGACCAUGACAAUCCAGGUUCUGUGGAUCGACUGCUUGUGCUAAUCUACCGCAGGUGACCAUAACAAUCCAGCAGAUAACUUCAGGAUUUUUAGAAGGCAUAUAAUGACAGUGAGCGGGACCAAAACUCUGACAAUCUAAGUCACCUAUAGGUAGCAUAAGUAAUCUAUAUGACUCAAGUUGCUCAAAUAAUGUCUAGAUGUGUAACGAAUACCUUGCAUGUACAGAGCUAUGUUCUGAAUCUGAUAUACUCCGCUUGUAUUCCCACUGUCAGAUGAACAUUUUAAAAAAUAAAUAUUUUUGCAUUUCCCCAGAAUGUCUUUUUCUGUUUCAUUGAAGGUACAAAAUAAAGUACUGUUUUUUAAUAUUGCGUAUUUAUUUUACAUGUAAAGAAUUUAACAGGAAAUUAUUGUAGGCCUGUGACCUGAUAGAUUCAAAUA